GGUCGUGAGGGAAAUUUGGCUAUAGCAUCUUUGUAUUUAUCACUAGGGUUGAGUCUGUCAGUCUGGAUGGCUUCAAGGGUGUGCCCUUCCUCUGUCACCAUGCCAUGUGUGUGUGUAUCUAUAGGGGAGGGCACUCUUUGGUUAGUGAUAUAUGAGCAGUUGAGCUUUCUUGCUGGGAACUCCAAAAAGCUCUCAAGAGGGAUAUGCAGGCAUAUGUCUACUUGGGAUUUAUAGAGGGGCCAUAAGCUUGGACUGUGGGUCAGAAAGACUUGGUUGUGACCUUGGCUGGAAGAACAACCCCAAUGACGUCAUUUCUC
rnacentral:sRNA from 1 species